rnacentral:rRNA from 1 species
AGAGUUUGAUCCUGGCUCAGGACGAACGCUGGCGGCGUGCUUCAGACAUGCAAGUCGAGCGGGCGGAGGUCGAACCGCAAGGGGAGGCUGAAGCUAGCGGCGAACGGGUGAGUAACACGUGGGUAAUCUACCCGGAAGACUGGGAUAACGGCCCGAAAGGGCCGCUAAUACCGGAUAAUAUCGCGGUCUCGCAUGAGGCUGCGAAGAAAGGCGAAAGCCACUUUCGGAUGAGCCCGCGACCCAUCAGCUAGUUGGUGAGGUAACGGCUCACCAAGGCGACGACGGGUAGCCGGUCUGAGAGGAUGGUCGGCCACACUGGGACUGAGAUACGGCCCAGACUCCUACGGGAGGCAGCAGUCGGGAAUAUUGGGCAAUGGGCGAAAGCCUGACCCAGCGACGCCGCGUGAGGGAAGAAGGCCUUCGGGUCGUAAACCUCUGUCAUCGGGGACGAAGGAAGUGACGGUACCCGAGGAGGAAGCCCCUGCUAACUACGUGCCAGCAGCCGCGGUAAUACGUAGGGGGCGAGCGUUGUCCGGAGUUAUUGGGCGUAAAGGGCGUGUAGGCGGCCUGUUAAGUCAGGUGUGAAAUUUCAGGGCUUAACCCUGAACCUGCGCUUGAAACUGGCAGGCUAGAGGACAGGAGAGGGAAGUGGAAUUCCCGGUGUAGCGGUGGAAUGCGUAGAUAUCGGGAGGAACACCAGUGGCGAAGGCGGCUUCCUGGACUGUACCUGACGCUGAGGCGCGAAAGCUAGGGGAGCAAACAGGAUUAGAUACCCUGGUAGUCCUAGCCGUAAACGAUGAGUGCUAGGUGUGGGAGGUUAAAAUCCUUCCGUGCCGGAGUUAACGCAAUAAGCACUCCGCCUGGGGAGUACGGCCGCAAGGCUAAAACUCAAAGGAAU